AAUGAAUGUUGGCGGCGUGGAUUAGGCAUGCAAGUCGUACGCUUUAUGUAGCAAUACAUGAGGAGUGGCGUAAGGGAGAGUAAUGCAUGGUUAGCUACCCUCGGGACUGGGAUAGCGGCGGGAAACUGCCGGUAAUACCAGAUGACAUCUUCGGAUCAAACGUGUAAAUCGGCCCGAGGAGGUGACCAUGUCCUAUCAGCUAGUUGGCGGUGUAACGGACCACCAAGGCUAAGACGGGUAUGGGGCGUGAGAGCGUGCCCCCACUCACUGGGACUGAGACACUGCCCAGACACCUACUGGUGGCGGCAGUCGAGAAUCUUCGGCAAUGGGCGCAAGCCUGACCGAGCGACGCCGCGUGCGGGAUGAAGGCCUUCGGGUUGUAAACCGCUGUCGUAGGGGAGGAAGGCUCCGUGCAGAACGGAGUUUGACCGAUCCUAGGAGGAAGGGCCGGCUAAUCUCGUGCCAGCAGCCGCCGUAA
rnacentral:rRNA from 1 species